CCGCCGCCGUAACACAGAGGAGCUUGCUCCUUGGGUGACGAGCGGCGGACGGGUGAGUAAUGCCUGGGGAUCUGCCCGAUAGAGGGGGAUAACUACGGGAAACUGUAGCUAAUACCGCAUAACGUCUACGGACCAAAGUGGGGGCUCUUCGGACCUCAUGCUAUCGGAUGAACCCAGGUGGGAUUAGCUAGUUGGUGAGGUAAUGGCUCACCAAGGCGACGAUCUCUAAAUGGUUUGAGAGAAUGACCAGUCACACUGGAACUGAGACACGGUCCAGACUCCUACGGGAGGCAGCAGUGGGGAAUAUUGCACAAUGGGCGCAAGCCUGAUGCAGCCAUGCCGCGUGUGUGAAGAAGGCCUUCGGGUUGUAAAGCACUUUCAGCGGGGAGGAAGGGUCACUAGUUAAUACCUAGUGGCAUUGACGUUACUCGCAGAAGAAGCACCGGCUAACUCCGUGCCAGCCGCCGCUGUAAUAC
rnacentral:rRNA from 1 species